CAGAAACUAUCUCCAGCGAAAGUUUCUGUCAGUAAGAAUAUGUUGAAUAGAAAUUGCUCCACAACAUAGAACAGAUUGGAGGAACAGGCUAUCUUUUAGGACCUUUACAAAGCCAAGGAUGAGACGAAAGAAAAUUUGGGGACUACAUACACAAAUCAACCAAACAUGCUAAGUGGAGUGGAGCAUAUCAAGAKGGUGCUGGUUUGACUCUAGGGGAAGAAGUUGAGCAGUGCAAUGCAUUUCUCUCAAGGAUUGCUUAUCAAAAACUGGCUGGACAGACAUGCUGACUCUUUUGGCCAUGUGAUGGAAUCAGCAAUAACUGGACAACUUGGCCACCUCACUAACUCAUCAAUAUCAGAA